rnacentral:rRNA from 1 species
AGCCGCCGCGGUAAUACGGGGGAUGCAAGCGUUAUCCGGAAUGAUUGGGCGUAAAGAGUCCGUAGGUAGUCAUCCAAGUCUGCUGUUAAAGAGCGAGGCUUAACCUCGUAAAGGCAGUGGAAACUGGAAGACUAGAGUGUAGUAGGGGCAGAGGGAAUUCCUGGUGUAGCGGUGAAAUGCGUAGAGAUCAGGAAGAACACCGGUGGCGAAGGCGCUCUGCUGGGCUAUAACUGACACUGAGGGACGAAAGCUAGGGGAGCGAAUGGGAUUAGAUACCCCAGUAGUCCUAGCGGUAAACGAUGGAAACUAGGUGUGGCCUGUAUCGACCCGGGCCGUGCCGAAGCAAACGCGUUAAGUUUCCCGCCUGGGGAGUACGCANCGCAAGUGUGAAACUCAAAGGAAUUGGCGGGGGAGCACA